rnacentral:rRNA from 1 species
GAUCAUGGCUCAGGAUGAACGCUGGCGGCGUGCCUAACACAUGCAAGUCGAACGAACUUUUCAUGAAGCCUAGCGAUUGAAAAGUUAGUGGCGGACGGGUGAGUAACGCGUGGGUAACCUGCCUUGUACUGGGGGACAACAGUUGGAAACGACUGCUAAUACCGCAUAAGCGCACAGCUUCGCAUGAAGCAGUGUGAAAAACUCCGGUGGUACAAGAUGGACCCGCGUCCGAUUAG